AUUGAACGCUGGCGGCAGGCCUAACACAUGCAAGUCGAACGAGUGGCGGACGGGUGAGUAAUGUCUGGGAAACUGCCCGAUGGAGGGGGGUAACUACUGGAAACGGUAGCUAAUACCGCAUACCAUCGGAUGUGCCCAGAUGGGAUUAGCUAGUAGGUGGGGUAACGGCUCACCUAGGCGACGAUCCCUAGCUGGUCUGAGAGGAUGACCCGCCACACUGGAGAGGAGACACGGUCCAGACUCCAACGGGAGGCAGCAGUGGGGAAUAGUGCACAAGGGGCGCAAGCCGGAUGCGGCCAUGCCGCGUGUAUGAAGAAGGCCUUCGGGUUGUAAAGUACUUGCAGCGAGGAGGCGUUACUCGCAGAAGAAGCACCGGCUAACUCCGUGCCAGCAGCCGCGGUAAUUC
rnacentral:rRNA from 1 species